rnacentral:tRNA from 1 species
GCCGCCGUGGUGAAAUUGGCAGACACGCACGACUCAAAAUCGUGUGGGGAAACCCAUGUCGGUUCAACUCCGACCGGCGGCACCA